CCUACGGGGGGCUGCAGUGGGGAAUAUUGGACAAUGGGGGGAACCCUGAUCCAGCCAUGCCGCGUGUGUGAAGAAGGCCCUCGGGUUGUAAAGCACUUUCAGUGAGGAAGAACGCCUGGUGGUUAAUACCCAUCAGGAAAGACAUCACUCACAGAAGAAGCACCGGCUAACUCCGUGCCAGUAGCCGCGGUAAUACGGAGGGUGCGAGCGUUAAUCGGAAUUACUGGGCGUAAAGCGCGCGUAGGUGGAUUGAUAAGCCGGUUGUGAAAGCCCCGGGCUCAACCUGGGAACGGCAUCCGGAACUGUCAAGCUAGAGUGCAGGAGAGGAAGGUAGAAUUCCCGGUGUAGCGGUGAAAUGCGUAGAGAUCGGGAGGAAUACCAGUGGCGAAGGCGGCCUUCUGGACUGACACUGACACUGAGGUGCGAAAGCGUGGGUAGCAAACAGGAUUAGAUACCCCGGUAGUC
rnacentral:rRNA from 1 species